rnacentral:rRNA from 1 species
GACGAAGGAGGCUAGCGUUGUUCGGAAUUACUGGGCGUAAAGCGCGUGUAGGCGGUUGUUCAAGUCAGGUGUGAAAGCCUUGAGCUCAACUCAAGAAAUGCACUUGAUACUGGAUGACUAGAGGACCGGAGAGGAUAGUGGAAUUCCCAGUGUAGUGGUGAAAUACGUAGAGAUUGGGAAGAACACCAGUGGCGAAGGCGGCUAUCUGGACGGUUUCUGACGCUAAGACGCGAAAGCGUGGGGAGCAAACAGG